rnacentral:rRNA from 1 species
CUACGGGGUGCAGCAGUGAGGAAUCUUGCGCAAUGGGGGAAACCCUGACGCAGCGACGCCGCGUGGGUGAUGAAGGCCUUCGGGUCGCAAAGCCCUGUCGAGAGGGAAGAAUUGCAUUUAGGUUAAUAGCCUAAUUGUUUGACGGUACCUCCAAAGGAAGCACCGGCUAACUCCGUGCCAGCAGCCGCGGUAAUACGGAGGGUGCAAGCGUUGUUCGGAAUCACUGGGCGUAAAGGGCGUGUAGGCGGCUGAGUAAGUCAGGUGUGAAAUCCCUCGGCUCAACCGAGGAAGUGCAUUUGAUACUGCUCAUCUUGAGUACUGGAGAGGGAGAUGGAAUUCCCGGUGUAGAGGUGAAAUUCGUAGAUAUCGGGAGGAACACCAGUGGCGAAGGCGAUCUCCUGGACAGAUACUGACGCUAAGGCGCGAAAGCGUGGGGAGCAAAUAGGAUUAGAUACCCCAGUAGUC